GCGCAAUGGGGGAAACCCUGACGCAGCCACGCCGCGUGAACGAUGAAGGCCUUCGUGUUGUAAAGUUCUGUCCUCAGGGAAGAAUAAAUGCCGGUACCUGAGGAGGAUGCCCCGUCUAACUACUUGCCAGCAGCCGCGGUAAUACGUAGGGGGCAAGCGUUGUCCGGAAUUAUUGGGCGUAAAGGGUGCGUAGGCGGCUUUUUAAGUCAGAUGUGAAAGGCUACGGCUUAACCGUAGUUAGCAUUUGAAACUAAAAGGCUUGAGUGCAGGAGAGGAGAGUGGAAUUCCUAGUGUAGCGGUGAAAUGCGUAGAUAUUAGGAAGAACACCAGUGGCGAAGGCGGCUCUCUGGCCUUACCCUGACGCUGAGGCGCGAAAGCGUGGGUAGCGAACA
rnacentral:rRNA from 1 species